GCGGAAGUAGUUCAAUGGUAGAACCUUAGCCUUCCAAGCUAAUGACGCGGGUUCGAUUCCCGUCUUCCGCUCCA
rnacentral:tRNA from 1 species